GGUGGAAUAACUUUAUAAAGCAUACCAUUGGUGGCAUUCAGCUGUUGUCUGCUCUUUGGUCGGGUUGUUGUCUUUUAUACACAUUUCCCAUUUCCAUUCUCAAUUUUUUUUGUAUAAAAAAGAAACAUAAUAAUAUUAAUGCUCGAAUUCUUCAUUGACGACAUUAGUGUUUCGUUGCGAUGGCGUGUUUGUUGUUUACUUUACUAUUUUUUCUUAUUACUUUUUAUUUCCCACUUGGCAUAUUGUUUCAAGCUGAAACUGUUUUGUUAUUAAAACUUAUAAUUUAAGAGUAAGUUAGUAUUGAACUAGAAGAAUAAUCUCUGUUAGGUGAAAAAAAAUAAAAAAUUUUUUUAGGUUGAUGUAUUUUCAAGUUCCAUUUAUUCAGUUAUCU
rnacentral:lncRNA from 1 species